rnacentral:tRNA from 1 species
GGGGAUGUGGCUCAGUGGUAGAGUGCUUGCCUUGCAUGCAUGAGACCCUGGGUUCAAUCCCUAGCACCACCC